GAUGAACGCUGGCGGCGUGCUUAACACAUGCAAGUCGAACGAAGCACUUUAUUUGAUUUCCUUCGGGACUGAUUAUUUUGUGACUGAGUGGCGGACGGGUGAGUAACGCGUGGGUAACCUGCCCUGUACAGGGGGAUAACAGUUGGAAACGGCUGCUAAUACCGCAUAAGCGCACAGCAUCGCAUGAUGCAGUGUGAAAAACUCCGGUGGUAUAAGAUGGACCCGCGUUGGAUUAGCUAGUUGGUGAGGUAACGGCCCACCAAGGCGACGAUCCAUAGCCGACCUGAGAGGGUGACCGGCCACAUUGGGACUGAGACACGGCCCAAACUCCUACGGGAGGCAGCAGUGGGGAAUAUUGCACAAUGGGCGAAAGCCUGAUGCAGCGACGCCGCGUGAGCGAAGAAGUAUUUCGGUAUGUAAAGCUCUAUCAGCAGGGAAGAUAAUGACGGUACCUGACUAAGAAGCACCGGCUAAAUACGUG
rnacentral:rRNA from 1 species